CCUUCCCGGCCGGGCCCCCGGAGCGGACCUCCCCUCCCGGGGCGGACGUCCCGGGCCCGGGCCUUGCGCAGCCCGGAGUUAGCUUCCCCGGGCCAGAGCAGGGCGAGGUCCGGAUCAGUGCUGCGUGGGAAAGGGUCGCAGGGGCGCCUCCUUGGGAAGCGCGUUAACGGGCCCGUCUGUUAGGUGCAGGCGCUCGUCCAGGGGGCGUUCUCUCAAGCACCUGCGAUGCCCGGGCCCUGAGCCGGCUGCUGCGGGGCGACGGUGAGACACCGAGACUGCCCGGAAAAACGGCGGACGCGGAGGAUCGCAGCUCUGCGUCACGGCCGCUGCACACACUGCCUCGCCAGGAGGUGGCCGCGGCUGUGCCCAGCGAGUGAGCGGGGGCGUGGGCGCCGCCGCUCCGGGAGGCAGCACCCAUCGUCGAAACCUGUCUGGCUCUCCAGUGCCCUCAGAAACACACUCUCCAGACUCCCUUCCUAUUGAAUUAUCUCCCUUGGUUCAAAGAUCUUCACUUUUUGGCCCCAAGACACACGGACCUGGCCUGUUCAUCAGCAGGGCUAGAUUGCUAGGUGCCCUGGAAUGCAGCCUGCCAGCACCAGACCUUUAUCUCCUUUUCUUCUCACCCCACGAAAAUACUGUCCCCAGUAUAAGCCUAUAAGCAAGAGCUCUGCUCUCUGGUCUGCUAGUCGUGGGUUCGCCAGCCGCUGUGGGUACAUGAGUCAGGAGAAGCAUCUGUCUUGACCUACAGACUUGGAAUGUUCCAGCCUCUCCAACUGCAUGAGUCGUUUCCUUGAUACAAGUUUGCCUCAGAGCAUGCGCAGUAAAGAUCAACAUGGCCUAUGAAUGACCUUCCACGUGAGACAAACAUGAAGAGGGACCCCUCGCCAGGGCUGGAACCAAGAUCCAGAGGCGUCACGCAUACAUGAUAUCCCAGAAUAAGUCCUGUUUGACACCCCGGCAGCCUUUGUGACAGACUCCAUCUUAGUUCCAGCAGCCUCUACAAGGAAGUCCAUCUUGAAUUCUAACUGCACGUGCAUUUGAUUUUCAUAAUCCCUCACCUUCUCCUAGAAAUCUCCACCCAUCUAAUGAAUAAAGAUAAUGCCUUUUUCCCACCUAAGAACUUUUAUAAGCCUGGGGAAUCCUUUGUCCAGUGAGAGACUGGAGGCUGGCAUAGGUGGAAGCCUCUCUUCCUCUCGAGCCUUUUACUCUGUCCCUAAUAAAGCUUUGUUUGUGUGGAACCUCUGAGCCUCACCUGGUCAUUCUUGGUCAGAAGAAGGUAAGAACCUAAGCAGGGCUCAGUCCUGAGCUGGGAAGCCUUGCCCUGUAGCACAAUGGUUAAGAGUUCAGGCUGCUAACCAAAAGGUUGAUGGUUCAAAUCUAUCAACCGCUCCUUGGGAACCCUAUGGGGCAGUUCUACCCUGUCCUGUAGGGUCGCUAUGAGUCGAAAUUGACUCCAUGGCCCACAACAAAAACAACUAUAUAUACUUACACACUUUAGUGGUUUUGCUUCUCCAGAGAACCCAGCCUAAAAUAAGAUACAAAAAAGAAAGCUAUCAGAGAGAUGGGAGGCCUCAUGCCACCAAGAAUGAAUAACUAGGAGGGGAGCACAUCCUUUAGACCUGGGGUCCCUGCUCUGACCAGCUCCUAGACCAGGGGAAGAUUGAUGACAAGGACCUUCCCCCAGAGCCAAAAGAGAGAGAAAGCCUUCCCCUAGAGCUGGCAUUGAAGCCUCCGCCACGACUCCCCCGCACCCCCCACGGUUCCCUGCCCCCUUCACAGCCCACCAAGCCACAGCUUCUGACUGCGGUUUGGCCCAACCACGGGGUGGCCCCAACCACAGUUUGAAUUUGGUGCCAGAAUCCUGCACAUGCAUAAACCAAGAUUUUGGCGCAUGUGCAGAACCUAAGAGCUGUGUCCUCAAUCUGUCCUUGGACCUGAACAUCACGGACAUGAUUCAAUAUCCAGACCUCCAAAUGCGGACAUGGGAGGGUUCAAAGCAGAGAAUUCUGGGCACCAAACCCAACCCCCAGAUCCCACUGGAAAUAACAAGCUCCCCAACCCCCUCAGACAGCGAGCA